rnacentral:sRNA from 1 species
UACAGCCAAAUACCGCUGAAUUUCACCAGACAUCGUCAGUGAUGCCAUAUUGAUUUCCUACGUAACUUUCGUUUUGAAUGUUAGGCAUGGGCGGUCAUAACUUUCGCUGGUUGACAAGGUUCCAAAUAGCGAUGGCAGGCGAGGCCAGUGAGAUCUGUCAAAAGCAUUUUUUAAAAAAAAAAAAAAAAAAAAAAAAAACAAUAUCGGCGAUCUUUGCGGUCAGAUGGUGCCAUGGAUGUGAAAGCUUUGAGCUUGUUUUGAAUAUAAUUGGUGGUUAUUUUGUCUACUGGCUGCUAACUAUUUCGCGGGUACA